rnacentral:tRNA from 1 species
GGGGCGGUAGCCAAGUGGCUAAGGCAACGGAUUGCAAAUCCGUCAUGCGCGGGUUCGACUCCCGCUCGCCCCU